rnacentral:lncRNA from 1 species
GAAGGAAGCAAAAUAUCAACAACAGCCGAGGCGGCUCAGGCGCUCGGCCCCGGUUCCCCGCUUGCCUGCCGCCCGCCUGCUGGCCCCCGCGCCCACGACGGGGGCCCAGGCCUCACGGCGCCGCCCAGGGCCCGCGCGGACGCCGGCCUCAUUUAUUAUUCUCCCCGCCCGGAGCUGCGGCUUCCCGGUGUUGAAGAUCCCCCGGACCAGGGGCGAGGGCUACCCGCUCUUUGCCGUGACAACACCGUUCCCCCAGCCGGGCUGGAGGCUGUGCAGAAGGUAUCCUGCAGACCAUGAACUGAGCACUGUUCCCAGACCGUUCAUGAGCACAGUGUAAGGUGUGCCGAGACCCACAGCCACAGCAGCCUCAGCAGCCGCAACAGCCACCUCAGCAACAGUCCCACCUGGUCCCUGUAUCUCUCAGCAACCUCAUCCCGGGCAGCCCCCUGCCCCACGUGGGUGCUGCCCUCACAGUCACCACCCACCCCCACAUCAGCAUCAAGUCAGAACCGGUGUCCCCAAGCCGUGAGCGCAGCCCUGCGCCUCCCCCUCCAGCUGUGUUCCCAGCUGCCCGCCCUGAGCCUGGCGAUGGUCUCAGCAGCCCAGCCGGGGGAUCCUAUGAGACGGGAGACCGGGAUGACGGACGGGGGGACUUCGGGCCCACACUGGGCCUGCUGCGCCCAGCCCCAGAGCCUGAGGCUGAGGGCUCAGCUGUGAAGAGGAUGCGGCUUGAUACCUGGACAUUAAAGUGACGAUUCCCACUCCCCUCCUCUCAGCCUCCCUGAUGAAGAGUUGACAAUCUCACCGCCCGCCCUUCCCUGCCCCGGGCUCCUCCCGCUCGACCCCCACUUCCUUUCUUGUGCUUCGUGUCCUGUUGACGGUUACAUUUGUGUAUAAUUAUUAUAUUAUUAUUAUUAUUAUUAUAUUUUUUUUAAUUUGGAUUCUCGCUUUGGAGAGGGGGAUGCUCUCAUCCCCUCUUUCUGUACCCCCCACCAUUUUCACUGGCUGGGGGGCUCUCUUUUUCGCGGGAAGGGGGGACACUUUGCACGUUGUACACAUAUGCUGCAGGAAGGGGGUGGGGGGCCCAAUAAGGCCUUUGGGAAAGGACAGGUGCCGAGCCCUGCAUGUGGAGCCCUCCCACCCCACCCCCAGAUAGAGGGAAAUAACCAAAAAACUACCAAACAACAGAAACCCACACUCUAGACUGAAACCCCAAAGUGGGCUUGAUGGGUGGGUUUGUGUUUCAAGGGGAAAGUGAGGCAGAGGUUCUGAAAAGGGUCUCUGUUUUUGUGUUCAUGUAGCCAUAGGCACAUGGAGCAGAAUACUUAAGCCUGGCCCCCAAAUGCCCCUGCACACACACGUGCCACACCUGCGCUGAUUCUUGUGUGUGCUGCACCCCCAAGGUGUGUGGGUGCUGGCUGAGCUUUGGGCCGGGAAGGCAGCCUGGGAAUCUGAGGCUGGAGACAGGGGUUUGAGGUGGGGGCCUCUCUGGAAGCACAUUUGGAGGGAAAGACAAGAGAGCCAUGAGGAGAGGGCUGAGGAGGGCAGAAGGGCUAGGCAGGGGGCAAAUUGAGCCCCUCCCUUCCCCAGUUUUUCUCUAAGAUAUACAGUGCAAUAGCUCCCCACCCCUCAGUUGACGCCAGCCCUGUAAAGCUGGCCACAGUGUGCAGGGAGAAUGGGGAGAGGGUCUUCAGUGAGGUGGCUGGGGCGAGAGUCGGCCUGGACUUCCCUGGGGUGCUCCAGGCCAGAGCUCUUUCAUUGGGGCGAGUGUGGUGAGGGGACGUCCUUGGUCUUGCACGCACACUACCUGGGGGAGUCAACACUGGGAUGGUCUGUGGGGUGGGAGGGCCUACGGAUGGGUCCGUAGAGGUCCCACCUCCCUCAUUCCUCCUUGGCCCCUCUCCCUAGCUUCUCCUGUUAGCUCCUUCUGCUCCUGACCCCACCUCCUUGCUCUUGGCGCCCCUAUUGUCUCUGGCUACCUCCUUGUCCCACCACCUCCAGGCUGCAUCCCACCUUCCCUCUUGGCUACUGUAAUUGUAAAUAGCGACCUUUGGAAAACGUUAGCGGUGUAACAGUCCAGGAAACUGUUUUUUUUUGUUGUUGUUGUAUUGAUAUGAAAUGAGAUUCUAUUUUUGUCAAAGUAUAUUGUAAUAAUAAUGACUCAAACGGCCCGUACUGUA